GAUCAAUCAAAGUACGUAUUACACACGACAUGUGCACAAGGAAUUGAGAGAUAGUAAACAGGUUCUGCAAUAAAGACCAUCUCUAUCAGACAGUUUCUUGCUACAGUAUGUUAGGCUGUUCAUUGUUGACCGUUGAAUAAUUCAACACGCAAGUCUUCUAAUUUUCUUGGAAAAUCUCACUGUCUAUAUUUCCUCUCCAGCACCAUCAAACAGUGCUUCCACGCUGCCAGUCGUCCUGCAACUGCAAUCCUGGUUCAAUUUAACAGAUGCAAGGAAACCACAACACAAAUGGCAGCGGUGAGUACCUCUUUGGCUGUCCACCUCCAGCCUCUCUUCCUGCUCGUCGCCACCAGCGACAGCACAACCAUAGACAUCACCAACCAAUCCUCCUACACCGUGUGGCCGGCCGCUGCGCCAAUAGGCGGCGGUCUGAAGCUCGCUCCGGAGGAAACGUGGACACUGCACAUGCCUGCCGGCACCGUUGGGCAGCGCAUUUGGCCCCGCACAGGCUGCUCAUUUGAUCGCAAAGGCAACGGCUCGUGCCAGACGGGGGACUGUGAUGGCUUGAUCGCCUGCAAGGCCAAUGGUCAGCCGCCGAGCACGCUGGCUGAGUUUAGCCAAAUCCAAACAAAGGAUUUCUUCGACAUCUCCCUUGUUGACGGCUUCAAUGUGCCCAUGGCCUUCCUGCCGAUGCCAACCAAGGGAGUGACAGGGUGCAGCAAGGGACCACGCUGUGCAGCCAACAUCAGGUCGCGGUGCCCAAGCGAGCUUCAGACCCCAGGGGGUUGCAACAACGCAUGCACGGUGUUCAAGCAGGACAAAUACUGCUGCACCGGAACGAACUCAAGCAAUUGCAAAUCGACUAGCUACUCGACUAUCUUCAAGCAGAUGUGCCCAGACGCGUUCAGCUACCCCUUGGAUUCCUCAGGCACUUUUGCUUGCCCGACGGGCACCAGCUACCAGGUCAUAUUCUGUCCCCUAAUCAAUCAAACAAUUGCCCCUGCAGCUCCCAGUCCUCUGCCAAUAUCCCGAGUCGAGAGAGCACCUCUGUCUCCAAGUCCCCUGCCUGUACCUGGUGGGCCGACACGCAUGAACUUGAAAUCCUCCUCUGUAAAAAGAGUUGUUGGAAUUCUAGCGUCUAUAGGCAGCUUCAUUUUGCUAACCAUGUUAUUCACCAGCAUUUUCUUCAUAUGUAAAUGAAGAACACGACGACGCCAGGAGAGAAACGAAGAAGACGACUUUGGUGAGCUACAAGGAACGCCAAUGAGGUUCACAUUUCAACAGUUAGAAGUAGCAACCCAGCAGUUCACAGAAAAAAUUGGAGAAGGAGGAUUUGGAUCUGUUUUCAAGGGAAAGUUUGGUGAGGAAAAAAUUGCAGUAAAACGUUUGGAUCAAGCGGGCCAGGGGAAAAGUGAAUUUUUGGCAGAGGUUCAGACAAUUGGCAGCAUUCACCAUAUUAAUCUGGUGAGAUUGAUUGGUUUCUGUGCAGAGAAAUCCCAUAGGCUCUUGGUAUAUGAGUAUAUGCCCAACGGAUCCUUGGACAGAUGGAUCUAUCGUCGACAUGACAAUAAUACUACUCCCCUGGAUUGGGGCACACGAUGCAAGAUCAUUACUCACAUAGCCAAGGGCCUCUCUUAUCUUCACGAGGAGUGCACGAAAAGAAUUGCCCAUUUGGAUGUUAAACCACAAAAUAUCCUCUUAGAUGACAACUUUAAUGCUAAACUUUCUGAUUUUGGCCUAUGCAAGCUUAUUGACAGGGAUAUGAGCCAAGUGGUCACUAGAAUGAGAGGCACACCUGGAUAUUUAGCUCCUGAAUGGUUGACAUCACAAAUCACGGAAAAGGCCGAUGUCUACAGCUUUGGUGUUGUGGUCAUGGAAAUCAUGAGCGGAAGAAAGAACCUCGACACCUCCCGAUCGGAAGAGAGCAUCCAUCUCAUUAGCCUAUUGGAGGAAAAGGUGAAGAGCGAUCGAUUGGUAGAUUUGAUUGACAAUAACAGCAACGAAAUGCAAGCACAGAAGCAAGAUGUAAUUCAGAUGAUGAAGCUCGCCAUGUGGUGUUUGCAGAUUGACUGCAAAAGACGGCCUAAAAUGUCUGAGGUAGUAAAAGUCUUGGAAGGUACCAUGAAUGCAGACAGCAAUGUAGAUCAUAACUUUGUUGCAACUAACCAAGCAAAUUUCGGUAUUGCUGGAAAUGUAAAUUGCUCUUCUCCACCUCUAGCCUCAGAUGUAUCAGGCCCCAGUUUUGAACCCCCUGUCCCGUUCCAACAUCUGAUGAGGAAGCCCAGGAAGGUUACGCACGUCAACCGUCUUGCGCAGCAACCAUGUUGCAACACCAUGGCGAUUGACCUUCCUCUGCCACAUUUGGAAGCUAGGGUCCCGGUCCUCUGUUGUUCCCCAGUCCAGAUGAGCGAGGAGGGCGGCGAAAUGGCCCGCCGCGGCGGCGCCCUGCCGGACGACGACAAUCUCCUCCGGGAGAUCUUCCUCCGCCUCCCUCCGCAGCCAUCCUCUCUGCCGCGCGCCUCCGCCGUCUGCAAGCGGUGGCGACUGCUCGUCACCGACCCCAAGUUCCUCCAGUGCUUCCGCGCCCGCCACGGGAAGCCGCCCCUCCUCGGCGUCUUCUCGUACCUUGACAAGCCCGUCUUCUCCCCCAUCCUGGACCCACCCGACCGGAUCUCCCCCGAGCGUUUCUCCCUUAGCAGCUGCAGCUGCGCCCUCCGCAACCGCAACCACGUCCUCGGGUGCCGCCACGGCCGCGUCCUCCUCAGAUGCCCAAUGCUGAAUGAGUUCGUCGUGUGCGACCCCAUCUCCAGCGAGGAGCGCCGCGUGGCCGCUCCACCGGAGUUCGAGGGGUUGGUUCUCAACGGGGCGGUGGUCUGUGCCGCCGGCGACGAGGGCCAUGUACACGGUGACUGCCACUCGAGCCACUUUAAGGUGGUCCUGGUGUCCAUGCACGGAUACGAUCAUCAGUAUGAUGAUGAUCAACCGGUCGCUUGCGUUUAUUCUUCGGAGACUGGCAUGUGGGGCGAUCUCAUCUCAACAACAGAAUCAUGUCAGCUUUAUGAUCCUGGCUCUCCUGCUACCCUUGUUGGUAAUGCCCUUUAUUGGUUGCAGUUCAACAGUGGUGACCCUGGUAUACUUGAGUUUGAUUUGGAUGUGCAGAGCCUAUCUUUGAUCACGGAGCCUGACAUUGGAAAUGAUUUUUACUAUGGUAGCCGCCAAAUAAUCCAGGUUGAGGAUGGCGAUAUUGGCUUGGUCAUAUUUUAUUACCAUAGCAUCAAAAUUUGGCAUAGGAAGGUCAAUUGCCAUGGUGUUGCCACCUGGUUGGUGCACAAGACUGUUGACAUGCAUAGUAUUCUUGGGCUUCCUCCUCAGCUUGAUGAAUGGGACAUUGGAACUAUAAUGGGAUAUGCUGAGGAUAGCGAUGCCAUUUUUAUAUGUGUUGACUCCAAUGUCUACAUGGUUCAACUUAAGUCAAUGCAAUCGAAGAGACUUCAUGAUAUGGUUGACCAUCAAUUGGAUAUUGCUGACAAUGAUUGGCUAACUACCAUCCUUUUACAAGUUUUUAUACACCAGCUGUCUUCAUUCUUGGGCGUCAAAUUAACAAACCAUUGUAAAAUCAUAUGUCAAAUGAGAAACUCAGUUAACCUGUUUUGAAAAUCAGAUGUCAAAGGUAGUUAUAUUCUUUUAUCAGGCAUAGCCAAUGCUGCUAGAUGUGAUGGAGCUGAAAUGUUGGAUGAUGCAUAGGAUGUCUGUCUGGUUUGAUUUGCUAAUGUGCUGAAAUGGUUCGACUGGUGAAGGAAAGGCUCCGGGAGUUCUCUUUGAGUUUGUCAUAUUUCAUCAAUUUGGUCGGGACUCAGCAGUGUUUAUAUGUUAUCUGGAAAAAGAGACUUGCUAAGUGUGUACCUUAGUUUAGCUAAGUUUCUUAUGUAUCAGAAUGUACUUGAAUAUCUAAACAAGGGAGUUAUAACUUCCCCUAGUAAUAUUUCAAGUUGCUUGCCGCCGUAUC